GAUGAACGCUGGCGGCGUGCCUAAUACAUGCAAGUCGAGCGAACAGACGAGGCGCUUGCUCCUCUGACGUUAGCGGCGGACGGGUGAGUAACACGUGGAUAACCUACCUAUAAGACUGGGAUAACUUCGGGAAACCGGAGCUAAUACCGGAUAAUAUAUUGAACCGCAUGGUUCAAUAGUGAAAGACGGUUUUGCUGUCACUUAUAGAUGGAUCCGCGCCGCAUUAGCUAGUUGGUAAGGUAACGGCUUACCAAGGCAACGAUGCGUAGCCGACCUGAGAGGGGGAUCGGCCACACUGGAACUGAGACACGGUCCAGACGCCUACGGGAGGCAGCAGUAGGGAAUCUUCCGCAAUGGGCGAAAGCCUGACGGAGCAACGCCGCGUGAGUGAUGAAGGUCUUCGGAUCGUAAAACUCUGUUAUUAGGGAAGAACAAAUGUGUAAGUAACUAUGCACGUCUUGACGGUACCUAAUCAGAAAGCCACGGCUAACUACGUG
rnacentral:rRNA from 1 species